GAUGAACGCUGGCGGCGUGCCUAAUACAUGCAAGUCGAGCGAACGGACGAGAAGCUUGCUUCUCUGAUGUUAGCGGCGGACGGGUGAGUAACACGUGGAUAACCUACCUAUAAGACUGGGAUAACUUCGGGAAACCGGAGCUAAUACCGGAUGAUAUUUUGAACCGCAUGGUUCAAAAGUGAAAGACGGUCUUGCUGUCACUUAUAGAUGGAUCCGCGCUGCAUUAGCUAGUUGGUAAGGUAACGGCUUACCAAGGCAACGAUGCAUAGCCGACCUGAGAGGGUGAUCGGCCACACUGGAACUGAGACACGGUCCAGACUCCUACGGGAGGCAGCAGUAGGGAAUCUUCCGCAAUGGGCGAAAGCCUGACGGAGCAACGCCGCGUGAGUGAUGAAGGUCUUCGGAUCGUAAAACUCUGUUAUUAGGGAAGAACAUAUGUGUAAGUAACUGUGCACAUCUUGACGGUACCUAAUCAGAAAGCCACGGCUAACUACGUGCCAGCAGCCGCGGUAAUACGUAGGUGGCAAGCGUUAUCCGGAAUUAUUGGGCGUAAAGCGCGCGUAGGCGGUUUUUUAGUCUGAUGUGAAAGCCCACGGCUCAACCGUGGAGGGUCAUUGGAAACUGGAAAACUUGAGUGCAGAAGAGGAAAGUGGAAUUCCAUGUGUAGCGGUGAAAUGCGCAGAGAUAUGGAGGAACACCAGUGGCGAAGGCGACUUUCUGGUCUGUAACUGACGCUGAUGUGCGAAAGCGUGGGGAUCAAACAGGAUUAGAUACCCUGGUAGUCCACGCCGUAAACGAUGAGUGCUAAGUGUUAGGGGGUUUCCGCCCCUUAGUGCUGCAGCUAACGCAUUAAGCACUCCGCCUGGGGAGUACGACCGCAAGGUUGAAACUCAAAGGAAUUGACGGGGACCCGCACAAGCGGUGGAGCAUGUGGUUUAAUUCGAAGCAACGCGAAGAACCUUACCAAAUCUUGACAUCCUUUGACAACUCUAGAGAUAGAGCCUUCCCCUUCGGGGGGGACAAAGUGACAGGUGGUGCAUGGUUGUCGUCAGCUCGUGUCGUGAGAUGUUGGGUUAAGUCCCGCAACGAGCGCAGCCCUUAAGCUUAGUUGCCAUCAUUAAGUUGGGCACUCUAAGUUGACUGCCGGUGACAAACCGGAGGAAGGUGGGGAUGACGUCAAAUCAUCAUGCCCCUUAUGAUUUGGGCUACACACGUGCUACAAUGGACAAUACAAAGGGCAGCGAAACCGCGAGGUCAAGCAAAUCCCAUAAAGUUGUUCUCAGUUCGGAUUGUAGUCUGCAACUCGACUACAUGAAGCUGGAAUCGCUAGUAAUCGUAGAUCAGCAUGCUACGGUGAAUACGUUCCCGGGUCU
rnacentral:rRNA from 1 species